UCCCUUGGGGAGCACUGCUAGGGAGGGGCUCGGCUUCCCCCGGGGGCAGUGGGUGUGGCUGCACCUCUGAGUGCCCGUCAAGGGGAGGCCGUCACGGAAUACGCCCGUGGGCAGGUGGGAGCAAGUCUGCACCCGUUUUAUAUUCUCGGGGCUUUUGGGGGCCUGGCCCCGGGCAGCACCCGGAUGGUGGUGCCGGGGACACACGCCCCCGAGGGUCUUCAGGGUGCUGGUCAGAAGCAGGCAGGGGUCUCUCCAAAGACGGGCCCCUCGAGCGAGGCCUGACUGCUGCUUCCUGGCUGCGACAAGGCAGGGUGGGCACCGCCGUCUCGGGCCCGUCUGUCUGGGUCAGCGUCCAGGCUGGGGUCCCUCUCGGCCUCAGGAGCAAACCCGCGGCCACGCGCGCCCGGAAGGCCCUCAACUGCCCACGAUGUCGGUUGGGGAUGGAAUUCUCAGGACAGGGUGGCUGUUUGGGAAACAGGGUCAGCCAGGGAAACGCGGUUUCUGGACCCACUUUCUCAGGAGACGUGUCCCCACUGAGCCCUGGGAUCAGAGACUCACAGAAGGAAGGCCGCCCAGAGGUCCCCAGAGCUCACGGAGCUGCAUGACUGAGGGGGCCCUGAACCUGCUCUCCAGGGAGGUGACGCUGUCCAUGGUGGCCACACCCAGUGAGGGUUUCUCCUGUCCCCACCGGAGGUCCAACUGCCUGUCGCCCACAGGGGAGCAGAAGCUGGAUAUUGAGCACCUAGGCAGGGCGAGCACGAGCAAGCCCCCCAAUGACGGACCCCUCUGGGAGGAAGCGCUCAUCGGCAAAAUCAGGACCAUGUCGGCCUUGCAGAAGAGCCAGGCGUUGGAGGCUGUCCAGUGCCACAUCCGGGAGCACACCCAGCUCAUCAGGAAAGAGGUGCCCAACGCUGGCCUCCAGGAGCUCCUGGCGGCCUUGAACCUAGAACUCAAGCAGCCUUUGGAGAAGACCUUCCUCUUCCACUUUUACGGGCUGAUCCUCCGAGAGUGCGCCUGUGUGGACCUGGUGAGGAGGCACCCGGCCAGCCUCCUGGAGCUGUCCCACCAGUCAUCCGGCCAGCGGGAGGGCAUUGCCGUGGCCAUCGGCAUUGUGUCCUCCAGGCACAUGCAGGAGGUGUGGGCCACGCUGGAGCACGUGGGCCGCACCAGGUUCCUGAGGACUGUCUUCACGUCCCCAGACAGCCAGCAGCCGGAGCCAGACACGCACUGGAGAUGGGCUGGCAGCACCUCCCUGCUCUGCUACGGGCAGAUGGCCGCGCACGCCGGGGCGCAGAUCCUGCCCUGGGUGGACAACAUCGUGUCCAGGAUGGUGUACUACUUCUCCUGCAGCCGCUAUGACAACAUCCUCAAGACCAGCUUCCUUUCGGCCACCAUCAGGCUUUUGAAGGCUCUCAGGCAGAACAGCACCCCGAGCUACAAAUUCUCUCAGAUCCCAGAGCUCAUCCAGUGCCUCCUGUGCAUCCUUCAGAAGGAGCCCAACUUCCUGACCACCCUCUUCCGGGAGAAGAUCAUAUUGGUCAUUGUGGGACUGAGCAACCUGCGGCCCGGUCUCAAACCCAUGGUCAAGUCCCAGAUCCUGCAGACCUGCCUGCAGAGCCUGUACAGGCUCCCACCCACGGAGACGCUCAGGAGCAGUUUACCUCCAUUGGACGUGGCCCCAGACGUCACGGUGCUGUACCGGAAGUCGAUGCAGGCACUGGACCUGCUGCUGAAGAGCCUCAUCUCCGAGAACAAGAGUGUGGACGAGCUAUGCUUCAUCCUGCAGCACAUGGAGCCGUGGCUGAAGUCAGACAGCAGCGACGAGCGCCAGCGGGCGGUGCAGACCAUCUUCCUGUUCCUCAAGUACGUGGUGGACUACGUGGGGCUCACUGAGGAGGCCACCCCCUCCAUGCUGGGCCACCAGAUAGGCCUGCUCAUGCUGCUGUGGAGGGACAAGGAGCCCGUCACCCAGAGCCACGCCCACCAGUGCGUGUACCUCCUCCUGCAGCUGUUGACCCAGCAGAAGGGCAGCACGUCAGAGUUCACGUAUUUGAAUAAAAUGAAGAACUUUGAAGCAAAUGCCAGGAGGGAAUCAGAAAUGAAGUUUUACGACCUGGUGAAGGUGCUGGAUGGGAACCUGACUGUGGCCCAGCACACGCAGCUCGUCCUCACUCUCCUGCGAGGGCUCUGCAGCCACAACCACCUGCGCUGUGACCUGGCCUCACAGUUGCUCCUGAUGAUCGUCGAGGACCACAGCAUCAAGGCAGAGCAGGUGGCUGAGAUCCUGCAGGGCUUGUUCCAGGAGCUGCCCUCUAUCAUCUUCAAGAACACCCUGCAGACCGUGAUGCAGGCCGUGUCAGUGUUGGGGACUCAGCACACCCAGGAGACAGUCGAGGUGAUACUGUCCCUGUGUCACCCCUCUGAGAGACAGGUCGUACCCCUGUGGAAGGCCCUAGCCAGCAACACCCAGCUGGCCCGCAAGGUCCUCACCCUGCUCUACAUGAAGCUGAGGCUGCGACCCCCCAAAGAGCUCGUCAGGUUCACCCAGCAGGCGGAGCUCAUCUCCCUGCUGGCCCUGGGUACCAUUUAUGAGCUCCUGUACAUCCGGGAGUACAAGGCCACGGUGCGCUGGGCCUUCGCAGGGGUCCUCGUGGGCCUGCUCACGCAGCUCCGUUACCUGUUUGAGCUGGAUGUGGUGGACGGCAUCUCAGACUACCAGGAGGAUGUCCUAGACGGGAAGCCCCUCAGCCCCUGCAGGACAUGCCUGGAGGCCCUGAAGGGUCUCUUCUGGACCACCAACUACUGGGAGGUGUUUGCCUACCUCAAGCUGCUGAGAGGCUGGGAGCUCUUUGAGCACAUGGAAACCUACACCGAGGGGGUGACCCUCUUGGCUAGGGCCAUGGCCCACUAUGACUGUGAGGUCAAGGCCGUCUUGGGACAGGCGGUCAUCUCCCUGAAGAGCUCUGAGGAGCGGGACAACAUCGUGGCCAUCCUCAUCAUCACGGAGUUUCUCAACAGCCACGAGCUCACCCAGUACAUGUCUCGGAGAACCGUGGACAACUUCCUGAGCCUGGGCCUGAACAACCCCAACCAGCUGGUGCGGGCCAUGAGCCUGAAGGGCCUCAGCAGUGCCCUGAUGCAUCCUGAGAAGGUGAUGCUGCUCCGGAACCGGCUGGCCGGGCUGCUGGACGGCUUCGUGGGGCCCGAGCCCAAGGACCUCAUGGGCCUGAUGGAAAUCCUGGGUGACAUCCUGCACCGCCUGGGGGCCCAGGGCGUCGGCGCCACCAGCCUCAGGAUGGCCCAGCACCUGCUGCAGCUGUUCGACGAUGUGAGGAGCGCGGCGGCGGCGCAGCACCUCGCCUGAGCCCGCCAAUCCCAGCAGCCGCGGCUGCCACCCCAGCCAAUCCCAGCAGCCGCGGCUGCCACCCCAGCCAAUCCCAGCAGCCGCGGCUGCCACCCCAGCCAAUCCGAGCAGCCUCCGGCUGCCACCCCAGCCAAUCCCAGCAGCCGCGGCUGCCACCCCAGCCAAUCCCAGCAGCCUCCGACUGCCACCCCAGCCAAUCCCAGCAGCCGCGGCUGCCACCCCAGCCAAUCCCAGAAGCCGCAGCCGCUUCCCCACCCCCCCUUCCUAUCCCCGGGGCUUGUGGGUAAAGUCCUGUGGACCUGGGCGGGAGCCUGGCCCCAAGGAAGGUAGGUUCUGGGAGACCCCUGGGCCGCCUCAGAAAUGACCUUGCCCAAGCCUCGUGCUCCCCCACGUGGAGGGCGCGGGCCGCGGCCAGAAGAGCAAGGGUGGCGGGGUGGGGGGGGGGGGGCGGCAAGGGGGCGCAGGCCCGUGGCGCAGGUGCAGGGGCUGGUUCGCAGCCUCGAGGCGUCCUCAUCCCCCCCCUCCCGCCCCCAGCACAAAGCCCGAGGCCUCUUGCUGGGUCUGAGAGCUCAAAGUGACCGGUCUGGCCACAGGGUGCGCCUGGUCCGGGAGAGGGGGUGAGGUCGCUGUGGCCGAGAAAGGGUCGGCCGCAGCCACUGGAGGGGGUGGCAGGAGGAGAAGGCGCCCCAGCUGUCCAGAAGGCUGGGUUGUGCGUGCCAGCGGGCGGCCCCGGGCAGCAAGGAACAGGCCGACGUGCGCGGAGGGGCCAUCCUCCUGUACGGGGACGUGCUCUACGGCGGCGGCAGGAAGUACCAGCAGGCACUCGAGAAUCGCGCUUUCCAGGC